rnacentral:rRNA from 1 species
GACGAACGCUGGCGGCGUGCUUAACACAUGCAAGUCGAACGCUGAAGCUCAGCUUGCUGGGUGGAUGAGUGGCGAACGGGUGAGUAACACGUGAGUAACCUGCCCUCUUCUUUGGGAUAACGCCCGGAAACGGGUGCUCAUACUGGAUAUUCACUGAUUCUCGCAUGGGGGUUGGUGGGAAGGUUUUUUCUGGUGGGGGAUGGGCUCGCGGCCUAUCGGCUGGUUGGUGGGGUGAUGGCCUACCAAGGUUUUGACGGUUGGCCGGCCUGAGAGGGUGACCGGGCACAUUGGGACUGAGAUACGGCCCAGACUCCGACGGGAGGCAGCAGGGGGGAAUAUUGCACAAUGGGCGAAAGCAUGAUGCAGCGACGCCGCGUGAGGGAUGGAGGCCGGCGGGUUGUAAACCUCUUUCGCUCAUGGUCAAGCCGCAGCUUUGGGUUGUGGGGAGGGUAGUGGGUAAAGAAGCGCCGGCUAACUACGU